GAUCAUGGCUCAGGAUGAACGCUAGCUACAGGCUUAACACAUGCAAGUCGAGGGGCAGCAUGUAUCUGGCUUGCCGGAUAUGAUGGCGACCGGCGCACGGGUGAGUAACGCGUAUCCGACCUGCCGCACACUCCGGGAUAGCCUUGCGAAAGCAAGUUUAAUACCGGAUGCCGUAAUGGCGCCGCAUGGUGUUUUUACGAAAGGGAUUUACCGGUGUGCGAUGGGGAUGCGUCCCA
rnacentral:rRNA from 1 species